GACGAACGCUGGCGGCGUGCCUAAUACAUGCAAGUAGAACGCACAGUUUAUACCGUAGCUUGCUACACCAUAGACUGUGAGUUGCGAACGGGUGAGUAACGCGUAGGUAACCUGCCUGGUAGCGGGGGAUAACUAUUGGAAACGUUAGCUAAUACCGCAUAAUAUUGAUUAUUGCAUGAUAAUUUAUUGAAAGGUGCAAUUGCACCACUACUAGAUGGACCUGCGUUGUAUUAGCUAGUAGGCGAGGUAACGGCUCACCUAGGCGACGAUACAUAGCCGACCUGAGAAGGUGAUCGGCCACACUGGGACUGAGACACGGCCCAGACUCCUACGGGAGGCAGCAGGAGGGGAUCUUCGGCAAUGGACGAAAGUCUGAACGAGCAACGCCGCGUGAGUGAAGGAGGGUUUCGGAUCGGAAAGCUCUGUUGUAAGAGAAGAACGGGUGUGAGAGUGGAAAGUUCACACUGUGACGGUAUCUUACCAGAAAGGGACGGCUAACUACGUG
rnacentral:rRNA from 1 species